rnacentral:sRNA from 1 species
AGGCAAAAAAAACCAGGUACGAAGUCCAUGUACCUGGUAUAGGGGAAUUGGCUCUUUGCAGAGCCGUGCGCUAACCGGGAGUGGGGAAGCGUUGGUCCAAUAGUGCAAGCAUAGUCAGCACGCUUGUGAUUGCCACUUU